GUUUCAGUACGGUCCCAUGGAUGAAAUGAACAUCUGUGACAAUCUGGGUGAUCGCCUCAUUGGAACAUCUACAUCAAGUUUCGACACGAGGAAGAUGCCGAGAAGGCAGUGGCUGAACUAGACAAUUGCUGGUUUGGAGUUCGUCCAAAUUGCCACUGAUCUGUCUCCUGUGACUGAUUUCCGAGAGGCUUGCUGUUGACAACAUGAAAUGAGUGAGUGCACUCAUGGUGGUUUCUGUAAUUUCAUGCAUCUCAAACCAAUUUCUAAAGACCUUCGACACAGACUGUUUGGUAGUCAUCCGAUGCGUGGGGGAGGCCGAGGGGUCGCUUCAAUCAUUCAAGAUCAAGAUCACCAAAGAGAUGUUCUAGAUCUUGAUCUCCAGCUGAUCGAGGCAAUCGACGAUAGUGUGGAUUAUUGAUGGUUUGUCAGUGCUGUUGUGUGUAUUGGUAGUUGACUAGAGCUGUAGAGGUGGUGACUGAAUAUGUAGGUUGCUCAGUCACUGUGACAGGUACAUGUUGAAGAUGCUGUCGUGUUGAUUACAGGAGAUAA